rnacentral:lncRNA from 1 species
AAACUUCUUAAAAGAAUAGUUUUUGAUGCACAGAAAAGUUGCAAAGAUGGUACAGAGGAUUCUCGUAUAUCCUCACCCACUUUCCUCUACUGCUAACGUCUUAUAUUGGCCACGGCAAAUGAACCAGUAUUAGUAAAUUAUUAUUAACUAAAAUCCAUACUUUAUUUACAUUUCCUUCGUUUUUACCUAAUGUCCUUUUUCUGUCCCAGGAUUCCAUCCAAGGUGCCACGUUACACUUAAACAUCAUGCCUCCAUCCUUUCUUCCUGGUCUGAGAGAGUUGCUCAGACUCUCCUGGUUUUUGAUGAUCUUGAGAGUUUUGAGUAUUCAUCAUCAGGCUGGCACCCAGCACUGUGCUAUCCUAGGAAGAAACAGCUAAAUCCCAAUGAAAGUCUCUGCUCACCACCUCCCCUGCUCCUGCCCUGGCCUGGGCUUGGGGGGACCCAGAGAGACGUCCAUAGGGUUCUGCCCUCCUGGAUUCUCUGGCUCAGACGAUGGCCCCAUCAUAUACUCCUGCAGCCAAGGCAGAAAUCCAGGCAUCAGCCCGGACUCUUCCCUCACGCCCCCUCGUGUGCCCCCUUCUGUUUUCCUGCAGUGCCCUGAUGUCCUCUGUUGCAUUGUUUAUCAUCUUUUAUUGUAAAGGCUCCAAUUGUCCAUUUCCCCAUCUAGAUGCAAUGAAGGCAGAGGCUGUGUCUAUCUUGUUCCCUGCUGUAUUCUGGGCACCUGGCACAGUGCCUGGCACUUAACAGGUGCUAAUUAAACACUGUUGAUUGAAUUACUUAGUCCCUUUGAUUCCAUUUGCUUGAUACUCAUUGAAUCCAUACCCUCCUGUCUCCCCC